rnacentral:rRNA from 1 species
CGAUGAGUGCUAAGUGUUAGGGGGUUUCCGCCCCUUAGUGCUGCAGCUAACGCAUUAAGCACUCCGCCUGGGGAGUACGACCGCAAGGUUGAAACUCAAAGGAAUUGACGGGGGCCCGCACAAGCGGGGGAGCAUGUGGUUUAAUUCGAAGCAACGCGAAGAACCUUACCAGGUCUUGACAUCCUUUGACCACUCUGGAGACAGAGCUUUCCCUUCGGGGACAAAGUGACAGGUGGUGCAUGGUCGUCGUCAGCU